rnacentral:rRNA from 1 species
AGUGAACGCUGGCGGUAGUCCUAACACAUGCAAGUCGAACGGCAGCACAGUAAGAGCUUGCUCUUACGGGUGGCGAGUGGCGGACGGGUGAGGAAUACAUCGGAAUCUACUUUUUCGUGGGGGAUAACGUAGGGAAACUUACGCUAAUACCGCAUACGACCUACGGGUGAAAGCAGGGGAUCUUCGGACCUUGCGCGAUUGAAUGAGCCGAUGUCGGAUUAGCUAGUUGGCGGGGUAAAGGCCCACCAAGGCGACGAUCCGUAGCUGGUCUGAGAGGAUGAUCAGCCACACUGGAACUGAGACACGGUCCAGAAUCCUAAGGGAGGCAGCAGUGGGGAAUAUUGGACAAUGGGAGCAAGACUGAUCCAGCCAUACCGCGUGGGUGAAGAAGGCCUUCGGGGUGUAAAGCCCUUUUGUUGGGAAAGAAAAGCAGCAGGUUAAUACCCCGCUGUUCUGACGGUACCCAAAGAAUAAGCACAGGCUAACUCCGUG